rnacentral:snoRNA from 1 species
AAUGAAUGAUGACAACAUGUUUCGGUCCCAUAUGACACUGAAUGAUUAUACUCUGCUUAUCCUAACAGU